rnacentral:tRNA from 1 species
GGAGAGAUGGCUGAGUGGCUGAAAGCGCACCCAUGCUAAGGGUGUAUAGGUUUAUUCCUAUCGAGGGUUCGAAUCCCUCUCUCUCCGCCA